rnacentral:rRNA from 1 species
GACGAACGCUGGCGGCGUGCUUAACACAUGCAAGUCGAGCGGUAAGGCUCCUUCGGGAGUACACGAGCGGCGAACGGGUGAGUAACACGUGAGUAAUCUGCCCUUCACUUCGGGAUAACCACCGGAAACGGUGGCUAAUACCGAAUACGACCAGUCUUCGCAUGAGGUGCUGGUGGAAAGUCUUUUCGGUGAAGGAUGUGCUCGCGGCCUAUCAGCUUGUUGGUGGGGUAAUGGCCUACCAAGGCUUCGACGGGUAGCCGGCCUGAGAGGGUGACCGGCCACACCGGGACUGAGACACGGCCCAGACUCCUACGGGAGGCAGCAGUGGGGAAUAUUGGACAAUGGGCGAAAGCCUGAUCCAGCAACGCCGCGUGAGGGAUGACGGCAUUCGGGUUGUAAACCUCUUGCAGUACCGACGAAGCGCCCUGUCGGGUGGUGACGGUAGGUACAGAAGAAGGACCGGCCAACUACGUG